CGUAGGAGACGAGCGUUAUCCGGAUUUACUGGGCGUAAAGCGUGUGCAGGCGGUUCGGCAAGUUGGAUGUGAAAUCUCCCGGCUCAACUGGGAGGGGUCGUUCAAAACUACCGAACUUGAGGUCAUCAGAGGAAGGUGGAAUUCCGGGUGUAGUGGUGAAAUGCGUAGAUAUCCGGAGGAACACCAGUGGCGAAGGCGGCCUUCUGGGAUGAUCCUGACGCUCAGACACGAAAGCUAGGGGGAGCGAACGGGAUUAGAGACCCCGGUAGUCCUAGCUGUAAACGAUGUAGACUUGGCGUCGGAGGGUUCAAAACCUUCGGUGUCGUAGCUAACGCGAUAAGUCUACCGCCUGGGGACUACGGCCGCAAGGUUA
rnacentral:rRNA from 1 species